rnacentral:rRNA from 1 species
GCUCAGGACGAACGCUGGCGGCGUGCUUAACACAUGCAAGUCGAACGAUGAUGCCCAGCUUCCUGGGCGGAUUAGUGGCGAACGGGUGAGUAAUACGUGAGUAACCUGCCCUUGACUCUGGGAUAAGCCUGGGAAACUGGGUCUAAUACUGGAUACUACCUCCUGCCGCAUGGUGGGUGGUGGAAAGGGUUUUACUGGUUUUGGAUGGGCUCACGGCCUAUCAGCUUGUUGGUGGGGUAAUGGCUCACCAAGGCGACGACGGGUAGCCGGCCUGAGAGGGUGACCGGCCACACUGGGACUGAGACACGGCCCAGACUCCUACGGGAGGCAGCAGUGGGGAAUAUUGCACAAUGGGCGGAAGCCUGAUGCAGCGACGCCGCGUGAGGGAUGACGGCCUUCGGGUUGUAA